UGGGGAAUAUUGCGCAAUGGGGGGAACCCUGACGCAGCCAUGNCCGCGUGAAUGAAGAAGGCCUUAGGGUUGUAAAGUUCUUUCGGUAUUGAGGAAGGUUGAUGUGUUAAUAGCACAUCAAAUUGACGUUAAAUACAGAAGAAGCACCGGCUAACUCCGUGCCAGCAGCCGCGGUAAUACGGAGGGUGCGAGCGUUAAUCGGAAUAACUGGGCGUAAAGGGCACGCAGGCGGUUAUUUAAGUGAGGUGUGAAAGCCCCGGGCUUAACCUGGGAAUUGCAUUUCAGACUGGGUAACUAGAGUACUUUAGGGAGGGGUAGAAUUCCACGUGUAGCGGUGAAAUGCGUAGAGAUGUGGAGGAAUACCGAAGGCGAAGGCAGCCCCUUGGGAAUGUACUGACGCUCAUGUGCGANAGCGUGGGGAGCAAACAGGAUUAGAUACCCUGGUAGUCCACGCUGUAAACGCUGUCGAUUUGGGGGUUGGGGUUUAACUCUGGCGCCCGUAGCUAACGUGAUNNUCGACCGCCUGGGGAGUACGGCCGNNNNU
rnacentral:rRNA from 1 species